rnacentral:tRNA from 1 species
CAAAUUAAUCUAAAGAGAAAUUUAUUUUUACAAAAUUAUUUAAUGUUGUGCAAUUCAACUUAAUUUGA